CGUAGGUGGCAAGCGUUGUCCGGAAUUAUUGGGCGUAAAGCGCGCGCAGGCGGUCCUUUAAGUCUGAUGUGAAAGCCCACGGCUCAACCGUGGAGGGUCAUUGGAAACUGGGGGACUUGAGUACGGAAGAGAAGAGUGGAAUUCCACGUGUAGCGGUGAAAUGCGUAGAGAUGUGGAGGAACACCAGUGGCGAAGGCGACUCUUUGGUCUGUAACUGACGCUGAGGCGCGAAAGCGUGGGGAGCAAACAGGAUUAGAUACCCUGGUAGUCCACGCUGUAAACGAUGAGUGCUAAGUGUUAGAGGGUUUCCGCCCUUUAGUGCUGCAGCUAACGCAUUAAGCACUCCGCCUGGGGAGUACGGCCGCAAGGCUG
rnacentral:rRNA from 1 species